rnacentral:misc_RNA from 1 species
ACAGAAGCAAGGACACACUGGCCAAAAUUCCUGAAUGAGCACUACAGUUGGUUACUGUUCCGGAAGAUUGCAUUUGCAGCAACUGCAGGUGAAUGCAAUUUUCCUGAAUUGGAGGAUAUGGGAAAGGAGAUCGUGGAAAAAUGUAAGGGUCUUCCAUUAGCAAUCAAAGCAGUAGGAGGAGUGAUGCUUUGUAAACCACCUUACUAUCACGAAUGGAGGCGUAUUGCAGAUCAUUUC